AGCGAACGCUGGCGGCAGGCCUAACACAUGCAAGUCGAACGCAUCGCAAGAUGAGUGGCAGACGGGUGAGUAACGCGUGGGAAUCUACCUAGUUCUACGGAACAACAGUUGGAAACGACUGCUAAUACCGUAUACGCACUACAGGGGAAAGAUUUAUCGGAAUUAGAUGAGCCCGGGUAAGAUUAGCUAGUUGGUGGGGUAAUGGCCUACCAAGGCGACGAACUUUGGCUGGUCUGAGAGGAUGAUCAGCCACACUGGGACUGAGACACGGCCCAGCCUCCUACGGGAGGCAGCAGUGGGGAAUAUUGAACAAUGGGCGCAAGCCUGAUCCAGCCAUGCCGCGUGAGUGAUGAAGGCCUUAGGGUUGUAAAGCUCUUUCCCCGAUGAAGAUAAUGACGGUAGUCGGAGAAGAAGCCCCGGCUAACUUCGUGCCAGCAGCCGCCGUAACAC
rnacentral:rRNA from 1 species